UGUGGAGUAGGCAGUGUGUGCAGUGUGGAGUAGGCAGUGUGUGCAGUGUGGAGUAGGCAGUGUGUGCAGUGUGGAAUAGGCAGUGUGUGCAGUGUAGAGUAGGCAGUGUGUGCAGUGUGGAAUAGGCAGUGUGUGCAGUGUAGAGUAGGCAGUGUGUACAGUGUGGAGUAGGCAGUGUGUGCAGUGUGGAGUAGGCAGUGUGUGCAGUGUGGAGUAGGCAGUGUGUGCAGUGUGAAGUAGGCAGAAC
rnacentral:lncRNA from 1 species